AAAUUGUGCGAAUAUAUUUAAACUGAUUCAAGUGUAGAUUUUUCUUAGCAUGCUUUUCAGGCCAAUGGGCCAAGUACAUCUGCUCAUAGUCUAAACAUUCAAAAUAUAGGACAGUACAUUUCGUCUUUCUUCUUCCGGACUUCAUCAGGACAUAAAUUUUGUAUAAAUGAGAAAGCAUCAUCCAUUGUCAUGACCAUUUUUGAGAAGUUGCUGUUUGGUAUUCUAAUUGUAACAUUUGAUCUGGCAUUAUUUAUCGAGAAUGUUGGAGGCUACAAAAAAUUAUACAAAUUAAACAAAGUUUAUUGAAAAAACUAUUACACUAUACCCACGCAGAAAGUCCACUAUUUUAUUUGAAAUACAUUAAACUUUCCGCUUAGAUGAAACGAAAUAGUAUAUUACGUUCUAAAGGAACCAAGUGACAAUCUUACCUCCGAAUCACUAUCGGAAUCUUGCAUCAUGUCUGAAGAUAGCGACUCACUCUCAUUAUCGUCAAUCAUUUCCGUAAAUGUUGACAGUUUUCUGGUCAUCUGUGCUGUUCUCCCAAGUAUCAGUUUCCUGGUCAUCUAUCGAGCUACCCAUAAAAAAAAUUGCUGAUUCAUCAUUGUCUCUAUAUAGGAUGAAUUUCUGGAAUACUAGAAAACAUAUUACAAUCGGACCUGAAAUAUUUGUAGGAGAUAAUUCUAGAAACAUUUGAACCCGUUCUGCACUAUAAGGUAUAGUCUCAAAACCGCGUCUCUGAAAUAUUCAUCAUAAAAUUAAUACAAUUUUAUACAUAAAUUUGCAUUAUCAAUAAUGCAAGCAGUUCACACUGUAAAUUUAGAUUUUUGGGAAAAAACUUCGAAAAGUCGGAAUUUGCAGUGUUAACUAUGUGAGCUACAUAGUUUAUUCAAGAAAAUAUCAACGAAAUUCAUCAUACUUACUGGCUCGCACGGAAAAAUAAGAACACGCCUAUUUCCAUUCGCUACACCGACACAGAACCUUAAGCUACCUUCUUUAAAUUGUUGAUCAUCGUAAAUGGACAUCAUCAUCUUAAAAUUACAAGUGUUUGAUAUUUAGCUGGUAGUGGUAUUGCUAAAAAUCUUUCAUAAUCAGCCUUUCCGUGAAUUGUGAGAUGUAAAGCUGCGUACACUGGUGAAAAAAUGAAGUUAUUUUUUUCAUAUUGAAACAUAAAACAAUACGCAAAAAUGUAACAAAUAUGAAAAAUUAAUUUAGUAUGGGUUCAUUGCUCUCCCUUCUCAUCUUUUGUUCAGAAAUAAUAAAAAAAUAUGAGGAAAAUUGAUUAGAAGAGAUAAAAAAAAGUACCGAAUGUUAACAAAAACAUUGUUUCAGCAAUGAUUAAAAAUUCACGUUGGGAAAUUCAUAUUUUUUCAUAUUUCUUCUCAUAUGAGAUUUGAAUAUAAAAAAAAAAUGAAAAAUUUAUAAAAAUAAAGAACUAUUUUUACCAGAGAAAAUUUCACUACUGAUGAUAAUACUAAAAGCAGCAAGAGCUACGACUAAUACUUGAGAAACCAUAGUGGUACAAUGAAUUUAAGAAACUCACUUGCCCAUUAUUUUUCUCUACCUUUUAUGUAUUGAUACAAUCGUCAAAUAACAUACGAAAAAGACUACAUCCUGUAAUUUUCUUUUCAAUCGAUCAACAAUUUUAUCUGCAAAUCUAGGAUCAUUGUUACAGACAUUUUUUUUUGAUAUUAACAAUAAGUUUCGAUAAUUAUACCAGAACUAAUUAUUUCAUUUUUAGAAUUUUCUGUUCAACUAAAAAGAAUUUGCGUGUUAGAGCUUUUAUGAAGCCCACUGAUCGCGGAUAAAAAUUAGAUACCCAAUAUAAACAAUUAAAUAUUUCUAUAAAAAUAUAACAUAAAAGAUUCGUAAUACAAUCAUUUGUAAUAC